GCCUGGGUGGCUUAGUCAGUUAAGCGUUCGACUUCAGCUCAAGUCAAGAUCUCAUGGUUCAUGAGUUCAAGCCCCAUAUCGGGCU
rnacentral:tRNA from 1 species